UACGUAGGGCGCAAGCGUUAUCCGGAAUUAUUGGGCGUAAAGAGCUCGUAGGCGGCUUGUCGCGUCGACUGUGAAAACCCGCGGCUCAACCGUGUGGUCUGCAGUCGAUACGGGCAGGCUAGAGUUCGGUAGGGGAGACUGGAAUUCCUGGUGUAGCGGUGAGAUGCGCAGAUAUCAGGAGGAACACCGGUGGCGAAGGCGGAUCUCUGGGCCAUUACUGACGCUGAGGAGCGAAAGCGUGGGGAGCGAACAGG
rnacentral:rRNA from 1 species